AUGUGGCACACCGACGAGGUGCGCGACGCAGCCAUGCCACGUGGGUACUACCCUGGCUUCGCCGACGGCACUCUGGCGCCUGAGCACUACUCCGCCGAGGUCGCCACCGGCGGCGACUACGUCAACACACUACCAUCUGGGUACGGGUACCCCAUGGGCAUGGGCAUGGACGUCGGCGACAACUUCACCAGUCUGGAGAGCAACUACACGGCGGCGCAUUGGCAGGCCGAGGCGUUCCAGCACUCUGACACCAGCACCAGCACCAGCGAGCUGCUGUCAGCUGCAUCAUCGCCUCGUUAUCUCUACUAG
rnacentral:rRNA from 1 species